rnacentral:rRNA from 1 species
GAUGAACGCUGGCGGCGUGCCUAAUACAUGCAAGUCGAGCGAACAGACGAGGAGCUUGCUCCUCUGACGUUAGCGGCGGACGGGUGAGUAACACGUGGAUAACCUACCUAUAAGACUGGGAUAACUUCGGGAAACCGGAGCUAAUACCGGAUAAUAUAUUUAACCGCAUGGUUCAAUAGUGAAAGACGGUUUUGCUGUCACUUAUAGAUGGAUCCGGGCCGCUUUAGCUAGUUGGUAAGGUAACGGCUUACCAAGGCAACGAUCAGUAGCCGACCGGAGAGGGGGAUCGGCCACACUGGACCUGGGCCAGGGUCAAGACUCCUACGGGAGGCAGCAGUAGGGAAUCUUCCGCAAGGGGCGAAAGCCUGACGGAGCACCGCCGCGUGAGUGAUGAAGGUCUUCGGAUCGUAAAACUCUGUUAUUAGGGAAGAACAAAUGUGUAAGUAACUAUGCACGUCUUGACGGUACCUAAUCAGAAAGCCACGGCUAACUACGUG